CCUGUCAACGCUGACAGCUCCAACUGCGCCUGUUUGUUUAUCAACAAUCUCCGAUACAAAAUCCGCAGCAAACUUCCAUAACGCCGCAGGGACAAAACUCGAGAAACAGUGUGAUAGAUAUUAAGCAGCAACUAAGUUGAACAAAGUAAAUCGAACAGAAAACAAUAUGGCAUUCUAAAAGUUGUGCUGCCUGUGCUUUUGCCGUGACUUUUCCACCAUCGCUGUCCGAACUUUUGUGCUCAAUGCUCGAAUCGGCACGCUUUGCACGGUAAACUUUUUCAAGUGGAAAGCCGCAAAGUUGUCCUGUUAUUUAUUCUCCACCAGUGUACCAGCCAUAAUCAACGAUCCCGCGAAGGAAAAUAGAAAACCACAUGUAACAGUCACGUUCCUUUGGGCAGGAGAAAGACACACAGCAAUGAGCUUGGAAUUAUGGACGGGAAAAGCGUAAACAUGAACACAGCGAACCUCUGGCCGCGGCCGCAUUCACGACGCGAAGGCACUGUUGCGCAUCUUAUUAUCUGGCCGGAGCAGUGAGCACGAAUGUCAGAGAAAAUGUCCAAAAAGCAAAGCAAAGUCCAAAAUCAAAGCCGGACGAUGUUUGGUGGCAAACCAAAUUUCGGGCAUCAGGAAAGGAAAUAGUCACCGCCGGCAGGCAAAGACGGAGCAACGAUCGAGUUUUAGAGUUGAUGUAUUCGUUUCUACACCGAUUUGCUUCCUUCAAGAAGUCAUCCAACCUUCCCGGGGAGCCUUGUGCGGAGACGGGCGUAUGUGUUUUGAUAUGAGUGUGCUAUUGUUCACGGUCUCGGACAGACGACACUGGACACUGGUGGAGCACCGGGAAUGCAGGAGGAGGUGGUGUUAACAAUAAGCGAAACAAAUGAGGAAGAAGAGGGAUGAUAAUCACACCCAAAGGAGAUGCUGCUCCCUCCGAACGGACCCGAUACUCCGGUGGAUUUUUCCUUCGCCGUUUCCUUGGAUCCUUCAAGCGGUGAAACAAGUGCUGCUGCUGUUCCUUUCGCUGUCGGAUUGCGGGAAAAAGCCGUCGGGAAUGAAGUCGUUUUCGGCCGACGUUGGUUGAAAUUAAUGAAGCUCCCCAGCGUUGAUGACCUGCGGCAGGACAAACGCGGCCGGGAAGGAAGGAAAGUGGAGCGGAGCGUUGAAGUCAAGCCAGGGGAAGGCUUUAACCAUAGGAGGAUGUUGUGAGUAGCAAGGAUUCCUUUGAUCACAAAAAGAGGCAUACGAUAUCUACAGUGCGUACUGAGUGGAGAGUUUUUCUUUACUCUGAAAUGUUUCAAUAAUUUUAUUUUAAGUACAUUUCCAAAGUUGAACUUCAAGUUGCAUAAAAUCGCCACAGAAACAGGCUCAAAAUCAAUUGGAUCUGUUUAGAGCUAAUUUGCUCGUUCUUUCGCUUAAACGCAUUCGUUCUGGUUCCCCCGCCAAUGAGCAAUAAUUGAAAGUAGUCGCGUGAUCUUUUCAAAAAUAUAACCCAAACCCAGCACUGUUCUUCAUUAGUCCCUCGGACUGCGUUUCCAAUAAUACAUUCGUGCUGUUGUAUGUCGCACCUACCGACAAAUUGAUCGUCUUUAGCCGUACUGCUGCACGCAUUGCUCAUAGCGACGUUCGGACAGACUCACUCAGUGCUCAGAAUCAGGCAUCUUCCUUAAGGUGCACAACCAACCCUUCGCCAGCACGAUGUGCAACCCUCGAGCGCACCGAAACAAAAAACGCCCGUCAGAGUCGGCACGAAAGCUUAUAAUUGAUGCCCAAACAGACUCAGCCGUUCCGAACCAGUUCCAGGGCUCGGCGCAACACACGCCAGGCAAGCGCAUACGCAAGUCCCAAGACACCGGGAUGCGCAAAACCGCCCCCCGGGGCAAUAAAUUGUGAAGAGAUAAUAAGAACGAACGUUAAAAGGAUAGUAAAACCGAAAAUUGAAAACAGCAGAAAUAAUUUCAAGAUAAUUUACCGCGCGAGAGUCGACGUUGGACGUUAAGACGUUAAGAGGCGUUGCUGUCUUUUUCUUCGGUUUUUGGGGGGCUGCCUAUGUUUUUCCGCGCUUCGGUGAGGUGUUUUUAAGGGGCAUUUCAUGUUGGCUGCUUGUUUGUGAAGCCAUUGUUCAGCGGCAUCGGCAUAACGAGUGUGUGAUCGUGUCGGAGUUCUCGAAUGCUGGGCAAAUAUGUUUAGUCGGCUGGGAUGAGAGCGCACUUCCAGUGGUUUACCUUUGAAAGCCUUCCCGAACGGCGGUUCCUUGCCAACGAAUGCCAACAACGCUUUGCGCUCAUUAGGUGUGCCAAAUUGCUCUAUCAACAUUCAGAUGCAUUCGGAUAUCUCGGGCAGAAGAGGAGGAAGCAGGAAGCCGGUGAAGGGAAAGGUUUAAAAAUAUGUCCAAAAGAGGUGGACACUUGUUUUCUAUUUCUGCGUUCACCUCACUCACCAAACCCACAACAAUAUGGCGACCCGGAGAUCCUUGCGCACGCCGGACACAAAUGGAGCAAGCAUUUUCUUCUCUUCAACCCGUCGGGGAAAUUAACAUUCACGAGCAACAACAAGCGGGAAAACUCUUUGUGUUUUUUUUUCUCUCUCUCUAUGGUUUCUGUUUUUAGAGGCAGCAUGUGCAAGCGUCCCCUAGGGGAAAGGCGAAUGGAAAUUAAUGUGUCACUUCCGGCACAACAGCAGCAGCAGCAGCGAAGGCAAGAUAAGAUUUUAUCAACGCGAACGUGUUGUGGUUGCUGUCUUGUACAAGGGUUGAAUGUGUAUUGGCUGGCAUUAUUCAGUUGUUUAUUUAAUGCUUGUACCUAUUUUAAAUAAAACCAUCUAAAAAUAGUGAUUAUUAUUUUCGAUGAGAGUGAGCAGAGAAAAAUGAGGCAAACCCCCCCGCUCAACUCGAAGCGCAUUUGAAAGCGUUC